rnacentral:rRNA from 1 species
UACAGAGGUGGCAAGCGUUGUUCGGAAUUACUGGGCGUAAAGGGCGCGUAGGCGGCCUUGUAAGUCCCGUGUGAAAUCCCUCGGCUCAACUGAGGAACUGCACGGGAAACUGCUUGGCUUGAGUUCGGGAGAGGGAAGCGGAAUUCCGGGUGUAGCGGUGAAAUGCGUAGAUAUCCGGAGGAACACCGGUGGCGAAGGCGGCU